rnacentral:rRNA from 1 species
UACGGAGGGUGCAAGCGUUAUUCGGAAUCACUGGGCGUAAAGGGAGAGUAGGCGGCCUAGUAAGUCAGAUGUGAAAUCCCGGGGCUCAACCUCGGACGUGCAUUUGAAACUACUAGGCUAGAGAUCGGUAGAGGCUAGCGGAAUUCCUAGUGUAGAGGUGAAAUUCGUAGAUAUUAGGAGGAACACCAGUGGCGAAGGCGGCUGGCUGGGCCGAUACUGACGCUGAGGCUCGAAAGCGUGGGGAGCAAACAGG